CGGUAAUUCCAGCUCCAAUAGCGUAUACUAAAGUUGUUGCGGUUAAAAAGCUCGUAGUUGGAUUUCUGCGGGGACGGAGCGGCCGGACGCAACUUGCGUCUCGAGCUAGCGCUUUCCCCGCAUCCUGCCGCGAACCGUGCUACCAUUAGUUUGGUGGCGCUGGGGAUCGGCUCGAUUACUUUGAGAAAAAUAGAGUGUUCAAAGCAGGCCACACGCCUUGAAUAAGUUAGCAUGGAAUAAUGACUAAGGACUUUGGUUCUUUUCGUUGGUGUUCGGGACUGAAGUAAUGAUUGAUAGGGACAGUUGGGGCGGUCCGUAUUCCAAAGCGAGAGGUGAAAUUCUUAGACCUUCGGAAGACGAACAGCUGCGAAAGCGUUCCGCAAGGAUGUUCCCUUUGAUCAAGAACGAAAGUUGGGGGAUCGAAGACGAUCAGAUACCGUCGUAGUCUCAACUAUAAACUAUACCAGCUAGGGAUCGGCCAACGUUUAAUUAUUCGACUUGGUCGGCACCUUAUGAGAAAUCAAAGCAUCUGGGUUCCGGGGGGAGUAUGGUCGCAAGGCUGAAACUUAAAGGAAUUGACGGAAGGGCACCACCAGGCGUGGAGCCUGUGGCUUAAUUUGACUCAACACGGGAAAACUUACCAGGUCCAGACAUAGGAAGGAUUGACAGAUUGAUAGCUCUUUCUUGAUUCUGUGGGUGGUGGUGCAUGGCCGUUUUUAGUCGGUGAAGUGAUUUGUCUGCUUAAUUGCGUUAACGGACGAGACCCCAGCCUGCUAAAUAGCGCGGCCGAGCUUUGCUCGGUACGAGCUUCUUAGAGGGACCAUGAUGCGCGAUAGCACAAGGAAGUUUGGGGCAACAACAGGUCUGUGAUGCCCUUAGAUGUUCUGGGCCGCACACGGGCUACACUGGCGCCUGCAACGAGCAUAUCAGCUGGCCCGAGAGGGUCUUGGCUAAUCUUUGGAACCGGCGCCGUGCUUGGGAUUGACCAUUGCAAUUGUUGGUCAUGCAACGAGGAAUGCCUUGUAAACGCGAGUCAUCAGCUCGCAUUGAAUACGUCCCUGCCCUUUGUACACACCGCCCGUCGCUCCUACCGAUGAAUGUUCCGAUGAAAUUUUCGGAGAGCGCCGGAGAACGGGGCUCUGCCCUGCAGAACUGGAGGCUCAAAGUCACUUAAAUCUGAACAUUUCGAGGAAGGAGAAGUCGUAACAAGGUAGCCG
rnacentral:rRNA from 1 species